rnacentral:rRNA from 1 species
CUACGGGGCGCUGCAGUCGAGAAUCUUCCGCAAUGGACGAAAGUCUGACGGAGCGACGCCGCGUGCGGGAUGAAGGCCUUCGGGUUGUAAACCGCUGUCAGUGGGGAGGAAAUGCAUCAGGGUUCUCCCUGGUGUUUGACCGAUCCGCAGAGGAAGCGCAGGCUAAGUUCGUGCCAGCAGCCGCGGUAACACGAACUGCGCGAACGUUAUUCGGAAUCACUGGGCUUAAAGAGUUCGUAGGCGGCCUUUCAAGUCGGGUGUGAAAUCCCUCGGCUCAACCGAGGAAUUGCGCCUGAUACUGUUGGGCUUGAGGGGGAUAGGGGUGAGCGGAACUGAUGGUGGAGCGGUGAAAUGCGUUGAUAUCAUCAGGAACACCGGUGGCGAAGGCGGCUCACUGGAUCUCUUCUGACGCUGAGGAACGAAAACUAGGGGAGCGAACGGGAUUAGAUACCCCCGUAGUC